UGAUCACAAGUUCCUUUGUUUCGCAGAGCUAUAAGAGGAGGCAAUGUACCCCUCCUGGUUUAGCUCAGGUUGAGUUCAGACUGGACCCUUCUAGCUGGACUUAGUCUUUGCUCACCUUCUUCUUUAUCUUUGAUUCCGGGCUCACUUGAAUACUUCGAACUUCUCUCAGAUAUAUUGGGGUGACCAUUGAACAGGUGGAUUUAUAUAAAAACAGCUGAUGUGGGAAGAAAGGAGAGUAGGAAUCGAAGAGAAGGAGCUAUCAUUACAUGUCUUAGAAUUGGGCAUACUGGACUUAAUAGUACUUUAUAUUGAAUUGAUACUGCAUAAAUCUUGAUCCACACUCCAGUCCAGUCGGUGGUGGUAAUGCACCUAUGAGCUGGUUUGAAAACUGCCAAUAAAACACCAAAGAUGAAGAAGAAUUUCUGCUUUGUGUGAAGGGAACCUUUAAUUGGGUGUGGUGACAUGAUGUCAUAAAUCUGCGCCACACUCCUGCAUCUGUGAUUCUGCUGAAGAAAGGUUUGUUUUUAAUCCUUUAAAGAGUUUAAAUCAAUACAACCCAUUCAGAUUUAAAGAGAGGUUUUAUAGUGGAAAUUUAUAAUGUAUGGUUAAAAUCUAUUUAAUAAC